rnacentral:rRNA from 1 species
CCCUUAGAUGUUCUGGGCCGUACGCGCGCUACACUGAUGCAUUCAACGAGUCUAAAACCUGCUCUGAUAGGGGUGGGUAAUCUUUUGAAUGUGCAUCGUGAUUGGGAUAGAUGAUUGCAAUUUUUCAUCUUCAACGAGGAAUGCCUAGUAAACGCAAGUCAUCAGCUUGCAUUGAUUACGUCCCUGCCCUUUGUACACACCGCCCGUCGCUCCUACCGAUUGAAUGAUCCGAUGAAUAUCAUGGAUUGAGGAUGCAAGCAGGUUCGCCUGUCUUCAUCUUCGAGAAGUGAAGUAAAUCUUAUCAUUUAGAGGAAGGAGAAGUCGUAACA